AUUGAACGCUGGCGGCAUGCCUUACACAUGCAAGUCGAACGGCAGCACGGGAGCAAUCCUGGUGGCGAGUGGCGAACGGGUGAGCGAUAUAUCGGAACGUGCCCAGUCGUGGGGGAUAACGUAGCGAAAGCUACGCUAAUACCGCAUACGAUCUACGGAUGAAAGCGGGGGAUCGGAAGACCUCGCGCGAUUGGAGCGGCCUAUAUGAGAUUAGGUGGUUGGUGGGGUAAAGGCUCGCCAAGCCGACGAUCUGUAGCUGGUCUGAGAGGACGACCAGCCACACUGGGACUGCGACACGGCCCAGACUCCUACGGGAGGCAGCAGUGGGGAAUUUUGGACAAUGGGCGCAAGCCUGAUCCAGCAAUGCCGCGUGCAGGAUGAAGGCCUUCGGGUUGUAAACUGCUUUUGUACGGAACGAAACGGCGAGCUCUAAUACAGUUUGCUAAUGACGGUACCGUAAGAAUAAGCACCGGCUAACUACGUGCCAGCAGCCGCGGUAA
rnacentral:rRNA from 1 species